ensembl:lncRNA
GUCCGCUCACCUCUGAAAGCACUAACGGCGGCGCUUUUCCUCUGAAGCCCGAGCAAUUGGCAGCGUUUCUUUCUUUGCCGGGGCCUCCUGCCGCUCACGGCCAAAUAAAGCACAGCUUUAUAAAAGCUGGCGAAACAAAAUAGCAGAUUGCUCGGCGGCUAAAAGCUGCAUUUUCCUUUUCAGCCUGUUUCUCAUCAGUUCUUUUCAUAUUGCUGACUGACACAAAUCCUAUACGGCUACUUUUGUUUAAUGAAGGGCAUUAAUGAAGAGCUCUCCAGCUAAAUACAUCUUUAUUCUGCUAUUAGCGCAGCGCUUGAAGCAGGAGUUGAAGGAGGGCGUCUGAGAGCCUUCAGAGUCGAGGCAUUGAGAGGCACUUUCCCAUCAAUCAGGCCUUGUGUCCACUACAAUCACGUCAACUUACAGGAUGCAUCGUCUUCGUCCAGCGGCCGUCCCGCCGUGAGAAGAGCAUCGGGAGCAUCAGAGGUUCUGCUACGUCUGAUGUUUCCAUACGGCGACCGGACGAUCAGCUCAACAGCAGUGACUGAGAAAAACAGCAUGUCUCAGGUGAAAUCUGCAGCUGCUUCAUCAUCACGGAGGAGUGUGAACUCCAGCUGGAGACUCAGACUCGGGCUGAGGCGCUCAUAUCUCUGCCACUCUUCAAAUACGAGCUGCUGU